GGGGGAAUAUUGCACGAUGGGCGCAAGCCUGAUGCAGCCAUGCCGCGUGUGUGAAGAAGGCCUUCGGGUUGUAAAGCACUUUCAGCGGGGAGGAAGGCGAUAAGGUUAAUAACCUUGUCGAAUGACGUUACCCGCAGAAGAAGCACCGGCUAACUCCGUGCCAGCAGCCGCGGUAAUACGGAGGGUGCAAGCGUUAAUCGGAAUUACUGGGCGGAAAGCGCACGCAGGCGGUCUGUCAAGUCGGAUGUGAAAUCCCCGGGCUUAACCAGGGAACUGCAUUCGAAACUGGCAGGCUAGAGUCUUGUAGAGGGGGGUAGAAUUCCAGGUGUAGCGGUGAAAUGCGUAGAGAUCUGGAGGAAGACCGGUGGCGGAGGCGGCCCCCUGGACAAAGACUGACGCUCAGGUGCGAAAGCGUGGGGAGCAAACAGG
rnacentral:rRNA from 1 species